rnacentral:rRNA from 1 species
CCUACGGGUGGCAGCAGUGAGGAAUAUUGGUCAAUGGUCGGGAGUCUGACCCAGCCAAGCCGCGUGAGGGAGGAAGGUACAGAGUAUCGUAAACCUCUUUUGUCAGGGAACAAAGACUGGGACGCGUCCCCGGAUGAGUGUACCUGAAGAUAAAGCAUCGGCUAACCCCGUGCCAGCAGCCGCGGUAAUACGGAGGAGGCGAGCGUUAUCCGUAUUUAUUGGGUUUAAAGGGUGGGCAGGCGGUCUGUUAAGUCAGCGGUCAAAGCCCGGGGCUCAACCCCGGCCCGCCGUUGAAACUGGUAGUCUCGAGUUGGAGAGAGGUAUGCGGAAUGCGCGGUGUAGCGGUGAAAUGCAUAGAUAUCGGGCAGAACUCCGAUUGCGAAGGCGGCAUGCCGGCUCCACACUGACGCUGAGGCACGAAAGCGUGGGUAUCGAACAGGAUUAGAUACCCCUGUAGUC